UCGAGGAUCUUCCGCAAUGGGCGCAAGCCUGACGGAGCGACGCCGCGUGCGGGAUGAAGGCCUUCGGGUUGUAAACCGCUGUCAGUGGGGAGCAAAUGCAUCAGGGUUCUCCCUGGUGUUUGAGCGAUCCGCAGAGGAAGCACAGGCUAAUUCCGUGCCAGCAGCCGCGGUAAUACGGAAUGUGCAAACGUUAUUCGGAAUCACUGGGCUUAAAGAGUCCGUAGGCGGCAUGUUAGGUGAGGUGUGAAAUCCCCCGGCUCAACCGAGGAAUUGCGCUUCAAACCGGCGUGCUUGAGGAAGAUAGAGGUGGGCGGAACUGAUGGUGGAGCGGUGAAAUGCGUUGAUAUCAUCAGGAACACCGGAGGCGAAAGCGGCCCACUGGGUCUUUUCUGACGCUGAGGGACGAAAGCUAGGGGAGCGAACGG
rnacentral:rRNA from 1 species